CCUGCUCCUGGCUAACUGCAGCUACUUCCGCCAGCCAGUGGACUACAGCUGGAGCGUGUGUGGAAUGAAAGUAUGGCAGAGAGCAGGAGAUGGUGAGCGUGUGCUGCUGAUGCCUCUUUCUGAAGGCCAUUGAAUUCCAUGACAGGUGUUCUUUACUUUAUGAUGAAGCCAAAGCAGACCACCUUUCUGCAUCUCUACCAUCGUGGUGCCAUGACCUGGGAUGGAUGGGCUGGAGUCGAAUAUGUGGCAGGCAGCCAGGGUUAGUUUGUGGCCACUGCUGCCUCCUCUUCCUACAGUCGCCUCAUCGAGUACCCCUUCCCUGAUGAGUUCAACGUGUCUGUGCUCCUGUAAGCCCUCAGCCUCCUCAUUCUGUUUCUCAACUUCUACCACAACACAUGCCUGAGGGGCAAGCAAGAGAGGCUGAACUAGGAGCAGGACCCAGGGACUGAAACCAGCACAGCGUCCCCACAGAGAAUUGGGUAGAAGGUAGCAUGGCUUCCAGCUUACUGGUGCUGAGCAGA